rnacentral:rRNA from 1 species
GAUGAACGCUGGCGGCGUGCCUAAUACAUGCAAGUCGAGCGAACGGACGAGAAGCUUGCUUCUCUGAUGUUAGCGGCGGACGGGUGAGUAACACGUGGAUAACCUACCUAUAAGACUGGGAUAACUUCGGGAAACCGUAGCUAAUACCGGAUAAUAUUUUGAACCGCAUGGUUCAAAAGUGAAAGAAGGUCUUGCUGUCACUUAUAGAUGGAUCCGCGCUGCAUUAGCUAGUUGGUAAGGUAACGGCUUACCAAGGCAACGAUGCAUAGCCGACCUGAGAGGGUGGUCGGCCACACUGGAACUGAGACACGGUCCAGACUCCUACGGGAGGCAGCAGUAGGGAAGCUUCCGCAAUGGGCGAAAGCCUGACGGAGCAACGCCGCGUGAGGGAUGAUGGUCUUCGGAUCGUAAAACUCUGUUAUUAGGGAAGAACAUAUGUGUAAGUAACUGUGCACAUCUUGACGGUACCUAAUCAGAAAGCCACGGCUAACUACGUG